rnacentral:rRNA from 1 species
CCGUGAAAGUCCGGGGGCUCAACUCCGGAUCUGCGGUGGGGUACGGGCAGACUAGAGUGAUGUAGGGGGAGACUGGAAUUCCUGGUGUAGCGGUGAAAUGCGCAGAUAUCAGGAGGAACACCGAUGGCGAAGGCAGGUCUCUGGGCAUUAACUGACGCUGAGGAGCGAAAGCAUGGGGAGCGAACAGGAUUAGAUACCCUGGUAGUCCAUGCCGUAAACGUUGGGCACUAGGUGUGGGGGACAUUCCACGUUUUCCGUACCGUAGCUAACGCAUUAAGUGCCCCGCCUGGGGAGUACGGCCGCAAGGCUAAAACUCAAAGGAAUUGACGGGGGCCCGCACAAGCGGCGGAGCAUGCGGAUUAAUUCGAUGCAACGCGAAGAACCUUACCAAGGCUUGACAUGAACCGGAAACGCCUGGAAACAGGUGCCCCGCUUGCGGUCGGUUUACAGGUGGUGCAUGGUUGUCGUCAGCUCGUGUCGUGAGAUGUUGGGUUAAGUCCCGCAACGAGCGCAACCCUCGUUCUAUGUUGCCAGCGCGUGAUGGCGGGGACUCAUAGGAGACUGCCGGGGUCAACUCGGAGGAAGGUGGGGACGACGUCAAAUCAUCAUGCCCCUUAUGUCUUGGGCUUCACGCAUGCUACAAUGGCCGGUACAAAGGGUUGCGAUACUGUGAGGUGGAGCUAAUCCCAAAAAGCCGGUCUCAGUUCGGAUUGGGGUCUGCAACUCGACCCCAUGAAGUCGGAGUCGCUAGUAAUCGCAGAUCAGCA